GUCCACGCCCUAAACGAUGUCAACUGGUUGUUGGGGAAGGAAACUUCCUUAGUAACGAAGCUAACGCGUGAAGUUGACCGCCUGGGGAGUACGGCCGCAAGGUUAAAACUCAAAGGAAUUGACGGGGACCCGCACAAGCGGUGGAUGAUGUGGAUUAAUUCGAUGCAACGCGAAAACCUUACCUACCCUUGACAUGCCAGGAAGCCCGAUGAGAGUUGGGUGUGCCCGAAAGGGAGCCUGGACACAGGUGCUGCAUGGCUGUCGU
rnacentral:rRNA from 1 species